rnacentral:rRNA from 1 species
GAUGAACGCUGGCGGCGUGCCUAAUACAUGCAAGUCGAGCGGACAGACGAGGAGCUUGCUCCUCUGACGUUAGCGGCGGACGGGUGAGUAACACGUGGAUAACCUACCUAUAAGACUGGGAUAACUUCGGGAAACCGGAGCUAAUACCGGAUAAUAUAUUGAACCGCAUGGUUCAAUAGUGAAAGACGGUUUUGCUGUCACUUAUAGAUGGAUCCGCGCCGCAUUAGCUAGUUGGUAAGGUAACGGCUUACCAAGGCAACGAUGCGUAGCCGACCUGAGAGGGUGAACGGCCAACCCGGGACCUAGACCACGUUCAGACCUCCAACGGAGGCCACAGGAGGGAAUCCUCCGGAAUUGGCGAAAGCUUGACGGAGCAACGCCGCGUGAGUGAUGAAGGUCUUCGGAUCGUAAAACUCUGUUAUUAGGGAAGAACAAAUGUGUAAGUAACUAUGCACGUCUUGACGGUACCUAAUCAGAAAGCCACGGCUAACUACGUG